CUUCAUCUCUAAUUGCUUCAUUUAGCAUCUAGUGCAAUGGUUUAGGAGCACGUGUGCCCUCCACAGCGAUCGGUUGUGCCCUGGAUAACUGUGUGGCUCUUGCCCUGGCUAUGGAAGGUUGGUCUAUUCCGGGGUUGGGCAGUUUUGAAUCUCAGCCCUCUUCUUUGACCCACUGUGCUCUUCUCACUUGUUGGAAAGCAUAUUUUUAAUAUCUCUGCCUUCCUGGGUGUCAAGAGGGGCCAGUCCAUGCCUUCCUCAGAGACAAGCUAUUACAUCUCCCAGCAAACCUUUAUGGCAGAGGCCACACAUUCUCACCUGAGCCAGGUACUCUUGGUAGUGGUUGCAGAGGGAAAAGGACAUGGUGGAGCUCCGAGAGCCUCUGCUUGGAAGUGAUGUCUAUCGUGUCUGCCUACAUUUCAUUGGCCAAAGCAAGUCACAUGGUCGCUCAGGAGUUGAACAGAGCUGAAUUGGGAUUCACAAACAACAUCUCUGCUGCUGCUACUGCUGCUGCGUCGCUUCAGUCGUGUCCGACUCUGUGAGACCCCAUAGACGGCAGCCCACCAGGCCCCCGUCCCUGGGAUUCUCCAGGCAAGAACACUGGAGUGCUACAUGCAUCAAAAUGAGGAAUAAGGAGGUGAAGGUCUCUUUGUUCACAACAUUAUCUUUGAUGCAUCCGACAUGCGCCUGAUUACUUCUGGGUCUUUGCUUAUAUUUCCUGCCUCUUCCUUUGUCCACAGCGUAACUGCUUCCCACCCUCUUUAAACUUCUUCAAGUUGUCAGCAUAUUCUUCUGGGCUCUGCUCAAGUUAUUUCUGGUUGAAAAAGAUGUCUGCUUUCAUCUUCUAUUACUGAAUUAAAAAUUCCCACAAACUUAUUGGCUUAAAACAGCAUUCAUUCAUUAUUUCACAUUCUCUGUAGAUCAGGAAUCCAGGCACAGCUUAGAUAGGUUCUCGGUUGAGGGCCUUAUCUUUCCAGAGCUCAGGUCCUCAGGCUCACAAGGUAGUUGGCAUAAUUCAGCUCCUUGAGGUUGUAGGAUGGAGGUCCCUACUUUCUUGCAGGAGCCCCUCCCAGCUACUAAAGCCUGUCGGCUGUUUCUUGCCGUGUGACCCUCUCAACAACAGCAGUUUGCUUACUUGAGGCAAACAGGAGACCAUCUGGUGCAGCUUGGAAUUGCUGACUU
rnacentral:lncRNA from 1 species